rnacentral:rRNA from 1 species
UACAGAGGGUGCAAGCGUUAAUCGGAAUUACUGGGCGUAAAGCGUGCGUAGACGGUUACAUAAGUCGGGUGUGAAAGCCCCGGGCUCAACCUGGGAAUUGCAUUCGAGACUGCGUAGCUAGGGUGCGGAAGAGGGAAGCGGAAUUUCCGGUGUAGCGGUGAAAUGCGUAGAUAUCGGAAGGAACACCAGUGGCGAAAGCGGCUUCCUGGUCCAGCACCGACGUUCCGGCACGAAAGCGUGGGGAGCAAACAGG